UACGGAGGGGGCUAGCGUUGUUCGGAAUUACUGGGCAUAAAGCGCACGUAGGUGGCUUUGUAAGUUAGAGGUGAAAGCCCGGGGCUCAACUCCGGAAUUGCCUUUAAGACUGCAUCGCUAGAACGUCGGAGAGGUAAGUGGAAUUCCGAGUGUAGAGGUGAAAUUCGUAGAUAUUCGGAAGAACACCAGUGGCGAAGGCGACUUACUGGACGACUGUUGACACUGAGGUGCGAAAGCGUGGGGAGCAAACAGG
rnacentral:rRNA from 1 species